AGGGGUUUAAGUUAAUUUAAACUAAUCGUCUUCAAAAUGAUCAAUGUCUGAUAAAGGUAUCCCUUG
rnacentral:tRNA from 1 species